ACAAGCUAACCAACCUGGUCAAAGAGCUAGGAUGCCACACCUUCAAAGGGGGCCUAUCUUCUUGAGGAAGUGCUGCUCUGAGAGCUGGGCUGUGGUAUAAAAGUCAUGUCAGGGAGGACAUUUUUUAUUUGAUAGGAAAAUUUAAAAUGCUAAAGGAAAAAUUUUCUUAGCAAUUUCACAGGAAAACCUGUUUUAAGAGAGGGUAUCAUUCUAACUGGGAACUGAACUAUUAUGACUAGGUCUAUAAUUUAAUAACAAGUCACAAUAUUUCUCUUUCUUGACAUCAAUUUAAGAGUGACUUUUCACAUAGUAGAGAGAAUGGCUUCAGUUAUACCUGCCUCCAAUAGUUCCAUGAGAUCUGACAGGAAUACAUAUGUUGGAAAAAGGUUUGUUCACGUUAAAAAUCCUUACUUGGAUUUGAUGGAUGAAGACAUUCUCUAUCACUUGGAUUUGGGAACAAAAACACACAACCUACCAGCAAUGUUUGGAGAUGUAAAGUUUGUCUGUGUCGGUGGGAGCCCCAACAGAAUGAAAGCAUUUGCACUGUUUAUGCACAAGGAGCUCGGGUUGGAGGAAGCUGAAGAAGACAUAAAAGACAUCUGUGCUGGGACAGACAGAUACUGUAUGUACAAAACCGGGCCUGUGCUCGCCAUCAGUCACGGCAUGGGCAUCCCCUCCAUUUCUAUUAUGCUUCAUGAACUCAUCAAAUUACUCCACCAUGCACGGUGCUGCGAUGUCACCAUUAUUAGAAUCGGUACAUCAGGGGGAAUAGGGAUUGCACCAGGGACUGUUGUAAUAACGGAUAUAGCUGUAGACUCCUUCUUUAAGCCCCGGUUUGAACAGGUCAUUUUGGACAACAUCGUCACCCGAAGUACUGAACUGGACAAGGAACUGUCUGAAGAACUGUUCAACUGUAGCAAAGAAAUCCCCAACUUCCCAACCCUCAUUGGACAUACAAUGUGUACCUAUGAUUUUUAUGAAGGCCAAGGCCGACUAGAUGGAGCACUGUGUUCCCUUUCCAGAGAAAAAAAGUUAGACUACUUAAAGAGAGCAUAUAAAGCUGGUGUCAGGAAUAUUGAAAUGGAAUCUACAGUGUUUGCAGCUAUGUGUGGACUCUGUGGUCUAAAAGCUGCUGUGGUCUGUGUGACACUUCUCGACAGACUCGACUGUGAUCAGAUCAACUUGCCUCAUGAUGUCCUGGUGGAGUACCAGCAACGGCCUCAGCUCCUAAUCUCCAACUUCAUCAGACGGCGGCUUGGACUUUGUGACUAGACGUCCUAACUGGGCAGCCCAACCCUCCCCUGCAAGGAGAAGGAGAGGCUAUGAGAGGGAGAAGAAUGAAAUAAUUACAGUUAAUCUUCUCUUCAACUCCUGCAAGGAGUGUGUGUGCACAGAUAAAGAUCACUAAGAAGAAACACCUGGAUGUAGAUGACCAAUACUUGAUCGGCUACAUUUCACAAUUUCCAAGGUGGUGGUGGGUGGUCGGGGGAGAUGGAUUAAAGAUAAGAUGAGGCCUCCAAAGACACUAUUUGCUUGUUAGUCAGUUCCCUUACUUGUGAAGGUCAGUGGCUUCAAAUUUUUACCUAAAAAGUCAAGCCGCUUACAUAUUUCAGAAUAAAAAUUGCCUUUUCACGUGAAAGAUCAUGUGCUUCCAAAGUCUUCUUAUGUUAAAAGGCUAAGGAGAGUUCAAAUAUGACACAGCCUGAAUAGAGGCUGUGGGAGACAGUGGUGUUGAAAUGACUGAUGAGUGAGAGAUGUCAGUGAUGAUCUGAGCAUCUAUGCAGAUAAAACCUUUUACGGUUUUGUGGCUAAUAAAAAAUUAGUUUUUCCAAAAAAAAUGUAUAAAAUUUAAUUCAUUAAAAAGUAAAGUCUCAGUGAAAUUCUGAUACAUGCUACAACAUGGAUAAACCUCAGGAUAUUAUGCUAAAUGAAAUACUACACACAUACAGAUAAAUAUUGUACGAUUUCACUUAUAUGAGGUACUUAGAGUAGACAAAUUCACAGAGAAAGAAAGUAGGAUACUGGUUACCAGGGGCUGAGAAAAAGAGGAAGUGGGAUUCAUUGUUUUAUGAGCACAGAGUUUCAGUUUGGGAUGAUGAAAAAGUUCUGAAGGUGGAUAAUGGUGAUAGUUGCACAAUAACGUGAAUGUAUUUAAUGCUACUGAACUGUACAUGCAAAAGUGUUAAAAUGAUAAAUGUUAUGUAAGUUUCACUAUCACAAAAAUGUAAAGGCUCAGUGAGGUCUAUUUUGUGGUUUUUAUAAUAACACAUUCUAAUUUGCUAAUUUUAUUAAUUUACUCAUUGCUGAUACUCAUGACUGCUGGUUGGCAUUUCUACGUGGGCUUCUCUGAUCUACAGGAGUUAAGUGGCUCUAAGAAGGUUCUGUGGUGAGUGAUGAGUCACUCAGCAAAGGAGUUGAGUAUGGUAAUGGCUACCAGCAGGGAGACCGUGUAGCCCCAUGUUCUUAUCUCCAAUAUAAGACUGUAUCUGCCAAGAAGUCCUAAAUCUUUGAAUCCGGCAGUUCAGGCAUUCUUGCUCAAGACAGCAUAGCUGACUGAAGUUAUUUUUAAAGCACAGUUUAUCAGACUCAGGAAUGCAGUGAGAAGAUAUGACUGACACAUCAAUAGCUAUCAGAAAGAAUGAUUAAAUCUAAAAUACUAGAGAGAAGAGAAGAAGGUAGACACACCAGGGAGUAUUUCUACAGGAUCAAAGGCUGUGAAUUUAAAAUGGAAUUUUCCUGCAUCAAUCCAAUAGGCAUUACCCUGGGUAUAAAUACUCUGGUGUCUCAAUAACGGAAGAACAACUAAUAAGUUAAUUUAUCUUUUCAGGUUGUCAUAGCAUACAUGGGACUCUGUGGGGUCAAAAUAUGUUGCUAGAGAAAGACAGAAAUUAUCAUGAAGUGAAGGGAAAUAAUAAGAAAAAAAUGAAAGGAAAUAUUGAGAGGGAAGGGAGACUAGUAAGCAAGGAGAACAGUUGUGGAAGGAUAUUAUAAGAAGAAGUUUACUGGGGGUUCUGCAAGAGGGAGAGCUAUUAUACCCCAAGGCAUUGCAAACAUCUACAAAGGCUGCAUGAAGUAUUUUGGGAAGAGAAUCAAAACAUGCUAGAAAAAAAGAGAAAACUUAAAGCCAGGGUUGUGACCUGGGCUUACAGCUGAUACCAAACAUGAAGGCUAAGGUUUAAAGCUCAUGUAGACAUGAGGCCUCAUGUCAGGUGAGGUGGAUAUUGGAACUAAUACCCAGCUGAAGAAAUCCUCCCACCUACACAGGAGAUUCUAGUGAAUCUAGUUUGUCUCUGUUUAACAAGCAACAGGAAAAAAAUACAAUUCCCUAAGAAAGUCAAACUCCAUGCCUGAGUCUGGCUUGGAAUUUGAAUUUAUUUCAGGAACUCCCAUUUUAAAAGAUAUACAGAAAAUUGGGUCAUGGAACAGAGACACCCCUGGUGCUCCUAGCAUAAUAAAUGCAAAACCACAUGGGGAAGCAGACACACCCAGGUGACACAUGAUUCUCACAAAAUAGCCAGCCUCGUUGAAGAUAAGCUCAUGAUAGAAAGUCACAGAAUAAGCAAGUAACAAUAUUUGUGUGAGGCACAGUCAACAGGAGGAUUAGACCCAAGAAUGUGACUAGAAUUGGGCCUUAAAGAAAGCAACUGUCAUAUAAUAGCUUUAAAAUCAUCAAAGCUAUACCAGAAGUAACUAAAACACAAGAAUAAAAAAUGUGAAAAGACAUGUGAGGAUCAUGGCGGACGCGAGGCAAGACUAGAUUGCAGCUCCGACUGGGACAGACAGAGGUGUGUGGAGGCUCGCAUCGUGAAUUUUUGCUCCACAACGACUGCAGGAAUAAAUCAGAAAACUUCCGAGGACCCACAACCCCCCUGAAGAAAGCAGAUUGCUCCUGCAGGGCCGGGGAGACAACCCAAAUACUCUGCGUGCCCAAACUGGAAGUAGGAAAGGGAGAUUGUCUGCCCCCAAACACACCUCCCCACUGGAGAAACUGAAGGCCUAGAUUAUGGGAGAAGAUUUUGACCUUACCUGGAGCUGAGUAAAUUUAGAAAGCCAGUGAAAUACAGGGGUAGAGGAAGCAGUGGGAAAAGCCGUGGGAGCUCGCUGGGUCCCCUGGCAAGCUGUUUUUGCCUGGACUCACAGGGGCGCUUUGGGAGGAUGGCCAAAGGUGCUGGGAAAAGGCCACAGGGAGAAGGAAAUCUCCAGCUGAAUUUUGUAACAAUUUGAACUGACGGAGAAGUCUCCUGGCCAGAACUUGGGGCAGCGCGUCAAUCUAUCUGGUGUGCUGACUCCACAGGUGGGGGAACAAGGAAAGCCAUAGUUGCUUUUGCAGCUGGGAGGCAGGUAGCUUGGGGCAAGUUCUCAGCUCACGUAGCUGAAGACAAAAGGCCUAUACUCUUGGGAGUUCUGAGGCCCCGCCCACCACCUGUUACUCCUAUCUUAUCACAGCUGAUGCUCUCUGGAAAGCACCACCUCCUGGCCAGAGGCCAACCAGCGCAAAACCCGUGCAUUAAACCACCGAAGCUAAGAACCCCCCAGAGUCCAUUUCACCCCUCUGCCACCUCCACUGGAACAGGUUGUUAGAUAUGAGUUCUAAAUUUCUUUUCAAAGAAUCAAUAUGUCAGUAUGUUCAAUUCUUUACCGUCUACUUUUAAACUUAACUUUCUCAUAAAGCAACCUUUUUUGAUUACCUGCUCCACCCUGACUCAUUUCAGUUACCUGUUCCACCCUGACUCAUUCCUAUUACCUACUCCACCCUGACUCAUUCUGAUUACCUGCUGUGUCAUAACCAUUUUUCCCGCCAAACCACUCACCCCCGUCACUCUCUUUAAAUUAGCCAGUCGGAAUUAGUUUAGCUUGUGUGGUCUAACUCUAGCCAAGAGGGGAAGGACACAGCAGCAGGGGCCACGCGCGUCAGGGAUAAGAACCCCUUCCCCUCCCUUGUCCAAGUGUGUACUCACCAUUGCUUCAUCUGUAAGGGUGCACACUUCUAUAGAAGUACCUUGCCUUGCUGAGAAUUAAAAAGAAAAUUUUAUAUUCAAGUGCUAUUUCUUUUGCAGCACCAAAACUUUAUAUAUAACAAGGUGCUGGUAUCCAUGGCUGAGAGACCCAGGUGGUUCACAUCAUAGGACUCAGCAGACAACCCCCAGUACCAGCCAGGAGCCUGGUAGACUCACUAGGCGGCUAGAUCCAAAAGACAGAUAACAAUCACUACAGCUUGGCUCUCAGGAAGCCACAUCCAUAGGAAAAGGGGGAAAGUACUACAUCAAGGCAACACCCCGUGGGAAAAAAGAAUCUGAACAACAGCCUUCAGCCCUAGGCCUUCCCUCUGACAGAGCCUACAAUAGAUGUAUAGUAGUAUUCAUAUAUAUGUAUGAAUACUACUCAGCCUUAAAAAGGAAUGAAUUAAUAGCAUUCGCAGCAACUUGGAUGGGACUGGAGACUAUUAUUUUAAGUGAAGUAACUCAGGAAUGGAAAACCAAACACCAUAUGUUCUCACUCAUAAGUGGGAGGUGAGCUAUGAGGAUGCAAAGGCAUAAGAAUGACACAAUGGACUUUGGGGACUCAGAGGGAAAGGGUGGGAAGUGGGUGAGGGAUAAAAGACUACAAAUAGAGUGCAGUGUAUACUGCUCGGGUGAUGAGUGGACCAAAAUCUCACAGAUCACCACUAAAUAACUUACUGAUGUAACCAAACACCUCCUGUUCCCCCAAUAACCUAUGGAAAUAAAAAAAUUAA